UUAAGUUCAGCGGGUAGUUCUACUCGAUUUGAGGUCAAGUUGUCAGAGAUUGUCCGAAGACGGUUUGAAAGCACAGAGCUCCCAAUCGGCCACCCUCUUACGAGGUGCCGGCGAAGAUACUUAUCACGCCGUACUAUGUCCAAUCAAGAGAUGCACUGACGCAUUUCAGGUGAGCCACAAGGAAGCAGCAAGCACCCAAG
rnacentral:misc_RNA from 1 species